rnacentral:rRNA from 1 species
UGGGGGAUAUUGCGCAAUGGGCGAAAGCCUGAUGCAGCGACGCCGCGUGGGGGAUGAAGGCUUUCGGGUUGUAAACCUCUUUCGCUAUCGAACAAGGCCCGCUUAGGGUGGGUUGAGGGUAGGUGGAGAAGAAGCGCCGGCUAACUACGUGCCAGCAGCCGCGGUAAUACGUAGGGCGCGAGCGUUGUCCGGAAUUAUUGGGCGUAAAGGGCUUGUAGGCGGCUUGUUGCGCCUGCUGUGAAAACGCGGGGCUUAACUUCGCGCGUGCAGUGGGUACGGGCAGGCUUGAGUGUGGUAGGGGUGACUGGAAUUCCAGGUGUAGCGGUGGAAUGCGCAGAUAUCUGGAGGGACACCGAUGGCGAAGGCAGGUCACUGGGCCAUUACUGACGCUGAGGAGCGAAAGCAUGGGUAGCGAACAGG